GCUGCUGUUCCUUCUCGCUGAACUUCCAAACACUACAGAGACACUUUUACAAGAUGGCAGCCGUACUAGCCGCGAAGCGCGCCAAAUCACUGGUUUUCCUCGAAUAUCAACAUGAUGGCGGAUCAAAUACUUUCUAAUCAACAAGGGAAUAAAAACACUGAAAUUGAAACGAGAAACGAGAACGGAGGAAAAAACUAAAAUAUGCUUCCUCACUGCAUGGCUGAACUUUGAAGACUGAAACAUUCGCCGCCUUACUACGUUACCAAGAUCAAAAUGUUUCUCUGCAAAUUUGUUUUGAUCAUAGUUGUACCAGAGGAGACGCUGAAGCUUAAAUGUUUGCUUUGAAACAAAUGACUCGUAUCGAUA